rnacentral:misc_RNA from 1 species
GCAAACUUGGUCAUUUAGAGGAAGUAAAAGUCGUAACAAGGUUUCCGUAGGUAUGUAUUGCAUCAAUCCUCUUCCUCUUUAAUAUACAUGUGCUAACAUCAAAUUUCUAGGUGAACCUGCGGAAGGAUCAUUACCGAGUUAGGGUCUCCUUAGGCCCGACCUCCCAACCCUAUGUUUAUUAAACCGAUGUUGCUUCGGCGGGCCCGUCUCACGACCGCCGGGGGACCGUAAGAAGUCCUCUGGCCCGCGCCCGCCGGUGGCCAAACUUGACAAACUCUGAUUAAAACGUGUCACUGUCUGAGUACCAAUUUUUAAUUAACGCAAAAACUUUCAACAACGGAUCUCUUGGUUCUGGCAUCGAUGAAGAACGCAGC